UAAUCUGUCAGAUUUGUACCACACAAAACAAAUUUCAUAACAAAAUAAUCGGUUUUAACAAAGCUGUGGACAAACGGCGAAUCGAAGCUGGACGGUUUUCGCGCUCGCCUUUUUUGUCCCUGGUGGGCUCCCCUCUGUCUCCAUGGUAACGCAGCCGCCGCCAUAGCGCGAGCGUUGUCUUGUUUUUGAGCAGUAGCAGCGCGGCGGGUCCAGAGAAACUGCUUUCUUCCACAUUUAACGAUAAAACCUGACAAAUUUUAACAGGUAACUGCAGUUAUGCCAAAACGGAUUCAUCAGGAAUAACAACGUUUCAGCGCGAACGAUACAAAACGAGCUAAAGAUGACAGAAUAAGACACUCCCGAGGCUCCUCUGACUUCAGAAAAACACAAUGCUGGUGUUGCCUGUUUGGAGGCUUGCAAUCCCUCUGCCUGCAGUGCUGAUGAUCACUGUGAGCCUGUACAUGAUCCUCCUAGGGAUUGGGCUCUGGAUCCGAUACUGCCUCAAGGACUACUGUUCUUUAGAGUGCAGUGAAUGCUGUGCAGGCCUCUCUGUGUGCGAGCAGUGCAUCAGACUGGGUGAAAUGUGCGACUGCCGGCUGCCGGCUGUGGGACCGUUCCUGGCUGAAUCGUGCUCUCCGGCUUCUUGCUCCAGGUGGGACUGUGCCUGUACCUGCCAGGUUCCUGACUGUGACACCUGCAACUGUUUAUGCUUCGAGAUCAGGAUGAAGUAGGAGACGAGGAUGGAAGUGCUCAUCCACCGAACUAAUUUUAUACUUGUUAUAGCAUUUACAGCGGAGAUGGAGGUGGCUGCACACAGAACCGGCCUUACACCUUCUCUUCUGAGUCAUUCACUGACUUUUUCUCUUUGACUCUUUGAGACUGAACAUUUUUCUUUCAUUGCCAGAGAAUAGGUUGCCUUGCCGCUGAUAGGCUAACCGGUAGCUGUGUGCUGAUAUAUUUCUUCUGUAAAUGUGGCUCAAUAAUCACUAUGGUUGGCUGGCCUUUUCUACAACAUCACACUGCUGCUCUAUACACUAAUUUCCGCUAAUUUAAGAGACUACCCACCACCACUAUCACAUAUCCUCUAGGUUUACUAUAAUUACUGCCUUUGGACCAUCUGUGUGUUCAUCUGAGUAGCUGCAUCGAUCUUACUCGGAUCACACGGAGCUGACUGAAUGGGCAGGUUUUCGCUUCCUUCCUGAUCAGGGUCCGCCCUUGGUGGAUUGUGAUAAUGUCGACUGUAGGUCUCUAAAACGGUGCCAUUAUCCCCCAGCAGCGGGUCUUGGAUUAAAAGCAUCAACGCCAAAAGAGACCUUGUGCCUUUUGAAAUGGCCUGAGGUCACGCCGAGCUGAUGUCUGUUUUGCUGAAAGUACCUUCAGUACCUUGUUUUUAAUGAAUGCUUUAUUAAACCCGCAUUUACACCACAGAAGCUUCUUCUUGUUUUAUCUCCUCCCACUAAAACCUGCAUCCUCAGGAGGUAGCUGCAAAGUUACAGCUGAGUUUGCACACAGUGCCAUAUGUACAUGAGCAUGUUCAGGGAUUGUACUCCUGUUUAUGUUUCCAGGACAGUACUGCAAACAGGAAGGAUUUCCACGUCAUCUCAAAGCAAAAAAACAGACACAUUUUGUGUUUACCCCAC
ensembl:lncRNA